UCACAUGGAGCCAGCACUAGCAGACAUCUCAUGACCACACAACUGUCACCCAGGUGCGCAUGGAGAUUUUUUAUUUUAUUCUUUCUUUAUCCAAAUGUAAAUAAGCUGCAUUGUUGUUCCGAUCCAGAACCAAAUUCGUUGAUGAGUUCAUCUGAACAUGCAAAAGGGGCGACUGAAAAUAUGCAGAAGCAGCGGAGAUACAGCUGUAUGAAAAUGUGGAAUCUGAAGGUGAAUCUGUUCUCAAGGCUGUUUCCUGUGGCACUCCAGGCUUGCCAAGGCAAAAUGAGUGGCUAAAACAAAAGUCAAGGAGGGUGAAAGAGGAGAAGUUGUGUCCAUGUAUCCCACAGCCGGAGCUGCUGGAGCAUCUGGCCCUGCCCUCGUGGAGGUUCAGGAAAAGGUCACAUCAUGUGGUGUGAAAUCAAACCACAAGAAAUAGGUCACCUUAGCCAGGAUCAAUACCAGCAAUCAGUACUGCUGGAUCAGUAAUGUGCUUUACUGAGUCUUGGCACCCAGUACAAUAUCAUUUUGUUGUUGUGCUGUCUCUUGUCAACCACAGAAGGAUGAGUUCCCUCUUUGAGUCUUCGCUUCUCUUGAGGUUUCUUCCUCACACUCCUGGGAAAGUUUUCCUUACCACUGUCACCUUUGCAAUGUUUGGACAUGCACUGGGGGGCUUGGACAUUUGUUUUGUGAUGUCUGCUGCAAAAGUACUAUAUAAAUAAAUUUUGAUUGGUUCAUACUA